rnacentral:rRNA from 1 species
CCUUAGAUGUUCUGGGCCGCACGCGCGCUACACUGACAGAGCCAACGAGUUCCAACCUUGACCGAGAGGUCUGGGUAAUCUUGUUAAACUCUGUCGUGCUGGGGAUAGAGCAUUGCAAUUAUUGCUCUUCAACGAGGAAUAUCUAGUAAGCGCAAGUCAUCAGCUUGCGUUGAUUACGUCCCUGCCCUUUGUACACACCGCCCGUCGCUACUACCGAUUGAAUGGCUCAGUGAGGCCUUCGGACUGGCUCAGGGAGGUCGGCAACGACCACCCAGAGCCGGAAAGUUGGUCAAACUUGGUCAUUUAGAGGAAGUAAAAGUCGUAACAAGGUUUAGAUCAAGUUCGGACAGCUGAUCCUUCCGUGACACUUAUGAGAAGCCUUUGUGGCCCCGCAAGGGGUAUUAGCCGCGACAGUAAAGAAGGAUGCUAGUAUUAAAUCGCAAGUCAGCCCCCCCAAGGCGCUGGCAACACUUUCGAAUUGCGGGGACGCCCUAAAGCCCUCUCUACCAACCCGGCCGGGAAACCGCCUGGGGGCCAAUGCUAAUGACAUUGGGUACGGUAAUAAGGAGUUCGGGAUACGUGGGCAAUCCGCAGCCAAGUCCCUAAAGCCUCUUUUGGCCACGGGAAAGGUUCACAGACUAAGUGGAAGUGGGCUGGAUUGAUUCAGCUUAAGAUAUAGUCGGGCCCGACGGGAAACCGCCGGGGAAGUCACACUCUAUAACCGUUCCGUAGGUGAACCUGCGGAAGGAUCAUUAACAAAUGUCUCCUUGACAAGCUUUGCGCCGGGCUCGUCCCGGACAGAGUUCCACCCCAUGUGAACCUUCCUAACUAUGCUUCGGCAGCGUGCCAGAUCGCCGCGUCUGACGCGGCAGGACUGUAAGACUGCCUUGGCCCCAAUCUAUAAACUUGUUUACCUGAAUCAGUCUGAGCAUUCUGAAUUGAAUGAAAAUUAAAACUUUCAACAACGGAUCUCUUGGUUCUCGCAUCGAUGAAGAACGCAGCGAAACGCGAUAGUUAAUGUGAAUUGCAGAAUUCAGUGAAUCAUCGAGUCUUUGAACGCACAUUGCGCCCGUUGGUAUUCCGACGGGCACGUCUGUUUGAGCGUCAUCUCAACCCUCAGCUGAACCGGGCUUGUCCCGCGCAGGCCGGUCUUGAGCUCGGGCGUCCCUUCACGGGACUCCGGCUUUAAAGUUGCACGCUCUGCGGGCCCACCGCUUCCAGAACAUAGUAUAACUGCCCUGUUCGAAGGAGCUGGCGAGCUACCGCCUGAACAAAUACAAACCAAAGGUUUGACCUCAGAUCAGACGAGGAUACCCGCUGAACUUAAGCAUAUCAAUAAGCGGAGGAAAAGAAACCAACAGGGAUUGCCUCAGUAACGGCGAGUGAAGCGGCAAGAGCUCAAAUUUGAAAUCUGGCGCAAGCCCGAGUUGUAAUUUGAAGAGGAUGCCUCGGCUGGGGUCACGGCUUAAGUUCCUUGGAACAGGACGUCUAAGAGGGUGAGAAUCCCGUACGGCCGCCGACCCGCGCCAUGUGUGGCUCCUUCGAAGAGUCGAGUUGUUUGGGAAUGCAGCUCAAAAUGGGUGGUAAAUUUCAUCUAAAGCUAAAUAUUGGCGAGAGACCGAUAGCGCACAAGUAGAGUGAUCGAAAGAUGAAAAGCACUUUGAAAAGAGAGUUAAACAGUACGUGAAAUUGUUGAAAGGGAAGCGCUUGCGAUCAGACUCGCUGGCGGUUGAUCAACGUUCCUUCUGGUUCGUGCACUCUUCCGUCUGCGGGCCAGCAUCGGUUGGGACGGCGGGACAAAGGCGCCGGGAAUGUGGCUCCUCGGAGUGUUAUAGCCCGGCGCGCAAUGCCGCCUGCCCCGAUCGAGGUCCGCGCUUCGGCUAGGAUGCUGGCUUAAUGUUCUAAGCGAC